ensembl:lncRNA
CUCUGAUUUAGUCGGACGGUUUUUAUUUCACACUUUAUUGCAGCAGGAAGAAGACUAAGGUACGGUCGUCAACACUGACCUGUGAUAUAAUAAUCAUAUGUGAAGAUUGAACUUGUCUAUCAUCAUAUAUCAGCAGGUUGAUCUAUCUAAGGUCACAGUCAUUAGUUCGCAGUGUUGCAGCACGCAGUCUCCUUCACCCUCACCGUAGUGUUUGUUGCCCGCCCCCAAAUCAUUUCCGUGUUCUUGUUGCAUCUCUGUCAGAGCGAAUGAUGGUAAAACCAUCCAGGUGAAAGUUUGUAUCCUCAGUGACAUCCUCAGUGCAGUCAACGUCCGAAGAAACAAAACGUGAAAGAAGGGUUAAAACUUCACGGUAAAACACAAACACGCAAACGCGUGUUUGUGUCGUGUCAGGAGUCGCUCCCAAUACUGAGAGCCGUUGAGGAGAGGAAACGUGCGCGUUCUGGUGGAGGACCUCCAUGUGGCUCCACUAGUGACGGUGCAAGACGAGGCAAGCCGAGGGGGAGGCGUG